UGAAGUAUUAGCAUUGUCAUGUUGCA
rnacentral:piRNA from 1 species